rnacentral:rRNA from 1 species
CGCGUAGGCGGUAAUGAAAGUCAGAUGUGAAAUACUUCGGCUCAACUGAAGAACUGCAUCUGAAACUUCAUAACUAGAGUACGGAAGAGGGAAAUGGAAUUCCCGGUGUAGAGGUGAAAUUCGUAGAUAUCGGGAGGAACACCGGUGGCGAAGGCGUCCAUCUGGCCCAAUACUGACGCUGAGGCGCGAAAGCUAGGGGAGCAAACGG